GAGGUAGAGCAAAUCUCAAAAAAACAAUCUCAGUUCAGACUGCAGGCUGCAACUCGCCUGCACGAAGUCGGAAUUGCUAGUAAUCGUAGGUCAGCAUACUACGGUGAAUACGUUCCCGGGCCUGUACACACCGCCCGUCAAACCAUGAGAGUUGGCAACACCCGAAGUCGGUAGUCUAACCGCAAGGAGGACGCCGCCGAAGGUGGGGUUGAUGAUUAGGGUUAAGUCGUAACAAGGUACC
rnacentral:rRNA from 1 species